rnacentral:rRNA from 1 species
UACGGAGGGUGCAAGCGUUAAUCGGAAUUACUGGGCGUAAAGCGCACGCAGGCGGCUUGUUAAGUCAGAUGUGAAAUCCCCGGGCUCAACCUGGGAACUGCAUCUGAUACUGGCAAGCUUGAGUCUCGUAGAGGGGGGUAGAAUUCCAGGGGUAGCGGUGAAAUGCGUAGAGAUCUGGAGGAAUACCGGUGGCGAAGGCGGCCCCCUGGACGAAGACUGACCCUCAGGUUCGUAAGCGUGUGGAGCAAUCUGG